rnacentral:lncRNA from 1 species
AUCCGGCUUCAGCGCUCCGUGCGUCCGGCCCAGGUAACAACUUCCCCAAAAACCGAAAGAGAAAAGCGCGAGGCGCACGCACACCGGCCCAUCCCGGCGCAGAGACCUCGUCUGCCCCGGGAGGGGGAUCUGUCUGUGGUGCUUCCCGGUCUCUAAGCCCAGGUAACAACUCCGCAAACACACCCGCCGCCCAGCUCGCCCCCAUCCGCGCGGCUCCCGGCGGCGUUAAGUGGGUACCUUUCCUGCCUUGUUCCCCGCGCCGCCCCGCCGCGCCCCGCCAAACGUGGACCCCACUCGCGGGGCUCGCCGCGGAGUCCCCAGGCCGGGGCUCUGGGCCGGGCAGCGGGAGGCGCCAGGGAGGAGGGGCGCUUAGGGACCCGCGCCCCCGCGCCUCUAAUCCCCGUUACGCGAGCGCGCCCGGCCCGCGGGUCCCAACUUUACCGCCGCCGGCCGAACCCUGUCCGCCCGCGGCGCGCACAGCCGGCGCCCGCGCACACGCGCGCACAAACCCCACGCAACCCGCGGCCGCCCCGUCCCGCCGCCGCCGCAGCCCGCCUGCCGCGCGCCCACAGCCCGGCCCGAGUCGCGGGGCCCGAGCGACAGCGACGGCGCCGGCCGGGGCCGCGGCGCGCGGAAGCCACUUUGCACGGUCAGCGCCGGGCACAAGUUUGUUCCGCGGCUCCCGGGGGCCUGGGCGCUGAGGGAGAAUCGCGCUGAGGGGGCCAGGAGGAGGGGGAGAGGGAGGCGCCGAAGGGCACAAGAGUGGGGAAAAGUGCGGAAAGAAGCAACAGCCGCUCCACCCGGGACCAGAAAAGUGGCCAGUGCGUCCCGGCCGCCCGCCCUGCGCCGGGGAUGCGGCGGCGUCGGCGCCGGCUAACGGUCCAGGGAGGCGGCAGGGGCGGCGGGAGCCGCUAGGCGGAGAGAGACCAGGCCCUGGUUCUUUCUGGCAGGGACUUGAAAGAGAAUCUACUUGAUCCAGCCCCAGAAGCCACUGGGAAGCUGCUUAUGGAACUGGGCAAGAGGGCAGUAUAGACACCUGCUUCGCUGAUAGUGCUGCUGGCAGCCCCGCCUGCUAUUCCUAGCGCCUUUUGUGCUAUACUGCAGGACCAAACAGAGACUCCAGCUUUGGUAAUGU